GACGAACGCUGGCGGCGUGCUUAAUACAUGCAAGUCGAACGGAAAGGCCCUGCUUUUGUGGGGUGCUCGAGUGGCGAACGGGUGAGUAACACGUGAGUAACCUGCCCUUGACUUUGGGAUAACUUCAGGAAACUGGGGCUAAUACCGGAUAGGAGCUCCUGCUGCAUGGUGGGGGUUGGAAAGUUUCGGCGGUUGGGGAUGGACUCGCGGCUUACCAGCUUGUUGGUGGGGUAGUGGCUUACCAAGGCUUUGGCGGGUAGCCGGCCUGAGAGGGUGACCGGCCACAUUGGGACUGAGAUACGGCCCAGACUCCUACGGGAGGCAGCAGUGGGGAAUAUUGCACAAUGGGCGGAAGCCUGAUGCAGCAACGCCGCGUGCGGGAUGACGGCCUUCGGGUUGUAAACCGCUUUCGCCUGUGACGAAGCGUGAGUGACGGUAAUGGGUAAAGAAGCACCGGCUAACUACGUG
rnacentral:rRNA from 1 species